rnacentral:rRNA from 1 species
UACGAAGGGGGCUAGCGUUGCUCGGAAUUACUGGGCGUAAAGCGCACGUAGGCGGCUUUCUAAGUCGGGGGUGAAAUCCUGGAGCUCAACUCCAGAACUGCCUUCGAUACUGGAGAGCUUGAGUCCGGGAGAGGUGAGUGGAACUGCGAGUGUAGAGGUGAAAAUUCGUAGAUAUUCGCAAGAACACCAGUGGCGAAGGCGGCUCACUGGCCCGGUACUGACGCUGAGGUGCGAAAGCGUGGGGAGCA